rnacentral:lncRNA from 1 species
GGAAGAACAAAAUUGGAAGUCCAAAGAUAUUCUGAGCACUCUGAAGCACAUCCCAUAUUAUCCAAGACACCAGUUUGAUCCGAAAAACAAGAAAAAGUCUUCCUUGAAUGGUAACAUAAGAGCUAAGUACUUAGUGAUUCCUUGUCCUGAAAGUCCCAAGUAGAGGCUCGACAAACUUAUGACGAAAAGAAAAAGGGAAGAAGAAGAGAGGGAUCCAUGGUAGCAUGAGCCAAACUGCUUACCAAAACUUGUUUUUCAAAAUUUCUCAUCCAUCUU